rnacentral:ncRNA from 1 species
UCCAUGCGGGUGCCACUAAAAGUGGCUGAGAUCGGGCUACAGAAGUCUGAGACCGUCGAACCUGAUCCGGUUAAUGCCGGCGUAGGAAAUAGGAGACUUC